UUAAGAGUAAUAAUUUAAUUAAACAGCUAUUGUUAAAUUAUGAAAGGAAAUGCUGCCGAAGUUUAGAAGAUUAUGCUGUUAUAUCUUCUUUUCUGGGGAAUUAUAAAAUAUAUAAUUCACUGUCGCAUCAAAAGAUGUGGAGCGCUUG
rnacentral:ncRNA from 1 species